rnacentral:rRNA from 1 species
CCCUUAGAUGUCCGGGGCCGCACGCGCGCUACACUGAAGGAAUCAGCGUGGCUUUCUCCCUGACCCGAAAGGGUUGGGAAACCCGUUGGAUCUCCUUCGUGAUAGGGAUUGGGGCUUGAAAUUGUUCCCCAUGAACGAGGAAUUCCCAGUAAGCGCGAGUCAUAAGCUCGCGUUGAUUACGUCCCUGCCCUUUGUACACACCGCCCGUCGCUACUACCGAUUGAACGGUUUAGUGAGGGCCUCGGAUUGGUCUCGGCCCGCUCUUCACCGGGCGGCGCCGUUGGUCGAGAAGACGCUCGAACUUGAUCGUUUAGAGGAAGUAAAAGUCGUAACA